rnacentral:misc_RNA from 1 species
AUGGGUCUGGUGUGCUCGACGGCGCAGCUCGCGUGCCUGUGUGGAAGCACAGCCUGCAGCUUCUGCUGCUCGCAAUGUCCCUCGUGCAGGAACAGCACGAGCACUCGCAUCAUGUAUGCGCUGCUACUGCUGCUGGGCACCAUCGCAGCCUGCAUCACCCUGGCGCCCGGUCUGCAGAGUGCCCUCAAGAAGGUACCAUUCUGCGCAAACAGCACCCACUACGUCCCAUCUGAGGUCACUCUCGACUGCGAGUCUGCGGUUGGUUACUUGGCGGUUUACAGGAUAUGUUUCAUCCUCUCGCUGUACUUCUUCCUGAUGUCCGUGAUAAUGAUCAGAGUAAAGAGCUCACGGGAUCCGCGAGCGCCCAUACAAAACGGAUUCUGGGCGAUCAAGUAUCUCUUGAUAAUCGGCGGGAUCAUCGGCGCUUUCUUCAUCCCGGAGAAGUCAUUCGGGUCCACUUGGAUGUACUUUGGGAUGCUGGGUGGUCUCCUCUUCAUAAUUAUCCAGCUGAUCCUGAUCGUCGACUUCGCUCACUCGUGGGCUGACGCGUGGGUUGGGAAUUAUGAGCAGACCGAGUCGAAAGGAUGGUACGCCGCGCUACUGGGUGCGACUUUCUUCAACUACGCCGUUGCUACCGCCGGAGCGGUGUUGCUCUACGUAUACUACACACACGCGAACAUGUGCGGCCUCAACAAGUUUUUCAUCUCGUUUAAUCUUAUCUUGUGCAUCAUUGUCAGUGUCGUAUCGAUUUUGCCGGCUGUGCAAGAACACCAGCCGCGUUCCGGGCUUCUGCAAUCCUCGGUGGUGAUGCUGUACGUGAUGUACUUGACAUGGAGCGGUAUCUCAAACAGUCCAGACCGCGAUUGCAAUCCCGGCUUCCUCGGUAUAAUCUCUGGUAACGACGUUAACGCGCAGAACCGCGUCGCCUUCGACAAGGAAAGCAUCAUCGGGCUCAUCAUCUGGUUCAGCUGCGUUCUGUACAGCUCGUUGCGCUCGGCGUCCAAUUCGUCGAAGCUCACCAUGUCUCAGAACAUGUUGGUGCAGGAUAACGGAGCUGUCAGGAAUACGGGAGAGCAGUCUCUCAUUGGCAACGAAGAUUAUACUGCAGUAGAAGGUCGCAAUCCUGACGCGGAGGCUGGGAACGACGCGAAAGUAUGGGACAACGAGGAGGAGAAAGUGGCGUACAGCUGGAGCUUCUUCCAUCUCAUGUUCGCUCUCGCCACUCUGUACGUCAUGAUGACGCUCACGAACUGGUACAAGCCGAACUCCAGCCUGGACACGCUGAACGCGAACAACGCUUCGAUGUGGGUGAAGAUCAUCUCCUCGUGGAUGUGCCUGGGUCUCUACGUGUGGUCGCUGGUCGCGCCCGCCGUGUUCCCGAACAGGAACUUCUCUUAAGUCCGCCCUCCUGUCCUUCCGGUCGGCGAGCGGAGCGCCAGCGGUCUGUCUGUCUGUCUGUCUGUCAAACAGCUGAAACAGCGUCAGUUAGCGCUUUCUUGUAAUUUCGUCCGCCUAUCACGAGACGUGCGUAGGCACGACCGUGAAAGAAGUUAGUCGGGACUGAUUUCGUGAAUGGUCACCAUUAACGGUUUAGGACUAUAAGUAUCCUUCAUAUGUAUAUGUGAUAUACGAUUUUUUUUCGCAUUCUAUGAUAUAAUAUACAUGUAUAAGAAAAUUCUUCCUGAAUCUUUUUGUAAAAUAUUUACAUAACUAUAGAUCUCAUCUUUAGCAUCUGUUAGUUUUCUGUUUUUUCUUUGAACAUUUAAAUAAUUAAAAAAUUUCGCUUUUUCCGUUCGUUUGUUCGCUUCAGUCAGAAGCAAAGUACGUGUGGACGUAUAACAAAUACAUAGUUAUGUAAAUACAUUUGGGUCAUGAUAGCAAUUGCGAGCUAGUGUAAGGCAAUUUUAUAUAUAACAUUAUCCGCUUUUUCUCGAAGCACUUGAUUUAUUUGAGACAAGAUGCUGCGGAAACGCUAUUGCAUACACGUGACCGCUGUUACAUAUGUAUGGCAAGAAAUAUGAUUAAAAAGUCUUUCCUUCAUUCAAUGGCGCUUGAAACACGUAAAGUUUUAAUGUAUACUUAAGUUACACUCGUAUCUUUAUCUAUGUGUCUGUACUGAUACGCCAAAUUUCCCAAAUUUCCUUUAUCCCUGUCCACUACGAAUCACUCUGCGUGAUAAUUAAGAUUUCUUCUUCUUUUUCUUCUCUCGAGAGGAGAUAAUGUAUUCGUGAAGAACAAUGUGUACGCAAUGAAAGUAAAUAAAACAAAGAGUUAUGU